GCGUCGGUAGUGCAACGGUUCAGCACACCCUCCCACCAGCCGGAUGAGGUGAGAUGUGGGUUCAAGUCCCAGCUGACGCA